AUACGUAGGGUGCGAGCGUUGUCCGGAAUUACUGGGCGUAAAGAGCUCGUAGGUGGUUUGUCGCGUCGUCUGUGAAAUUCCGGGGCUUAACUCCGGGCGUGCAGGCGAUACGGGCAUAACUUGAGUACUGUAGGAGAGACUGGAAUUCCUGGUGUAGCGGUGAAAUGCGCAGAUAUCAGGAGGAACACCGGUGGCGAAGGCGGGUCUCUGGGCAGUAACUGACGCUGAGGAGCGAAAGCAUGGGUAGCGAACAGGAUUAGAUACCCUGGUAGUCCAUGCCGUAAACGGUGGGCGCUAGGUGUAGGGGUCUUCCACGACUUCUGUGCCGUAGCUAACGCAUUAAGCGCCCCGCCUGGGGAGUACGGCCGCAAGGCUAAAACUCAAAGGAAUUGACGGGG
rnacentral:rRNA from 1 species